rnacentral:tRNA from 1 species
UCUAAUUAAGUGUUAACGCACAUUGACUUUUCACGUCAAAGGAGCACACAGUGCAUUUAGUU